rnacentral:miRNA from 1 species
UAAUAUUGGGUUGGCCAAAAGAUUUGUUUGGGUUUUUCUGUAAGAUGGGCUGGAAAACCCGAAUGAACUUUUUGGCCAACCCAGUAUUU